rnacentral:rRNA from 1 species
GAUGAACGCUUGCGGCGUGCCUAAUACAUGCCAGUCGAGCGAACGGACGAGAAGCUUGCUUCUCUGAUGUUAGCGGCGGACGGGUGAGUAACACGUGGAUAACCUACCUAUAAGACUGGGAUAACUUCGGGAAACCGUAGCUAAUACCGGAUAAUAUUUUGAACCGCAUGGUUCAAAAGUGAAAGACGGUCUUGCUGUCACUUAUAGAUGGAUCCGCGCUGCAUUAGCUAGUUGGUAAGGUAACGGCUUACCAAGGCAACGAUGCAUAGCCGACCUGAGAGGGUGAUCGGCCACACUGGAACUGAGACACGGUCCAGACUCCUACGGGAGGCAGCAGUAGGGAAUCUUCCGCAAUGGGCGAAAGCCUGACGGAGCAACGCCGCGUGAGUGAUGAAGGUCUUCGGAUCGUAAAACUCUGUUAUUAGGGAAGAACAUAUGUGUAAGUAACUGUGCACAUCUUGACGGUACCUAAUCAGAAAGCCACGGCUAACUACGUG